UACAUAGGUCCCAAGCGUUGUUCGGAUUCACUGGGCGUAAAGGGUUCGUAGGCGGUCGGGUAAGUCUGACGUGAAAUCUCCAAGCUCAACUUGGAAAUGGCGUCGGAUACUAUUCGGCUUGAGGAAUGGAGGGGAGACUGGAAUUCUCGGUGUAGCAGUGAAAUGCGUAGAUAUCGAGAGGAACACCAGUGGCGAAGGCGAGUCUCUGGACAUUACCUGACGCUGAGGCACGAAAGCCAGGGGAGCAAACGGG
rnacentral:rRNA from 1 species